UGGGGAAUCUUGCCCAAUGGGCGAAAGCCUGAGGCAGCAACGCCGCGUGUGGGAUGACGGCCCUCGGGUUGUAAACCACUUUCAGCAGGGACGAAAUUGACGGUACCUGCAGAAGAAGCUCCGGCCAACUACGUGCCAGCAGCCGCGGUAAUACGUAGGGAGCGAGCGUUGUCCGGAUUUAUUGGGCGUAAAGCGCGCGUAGGCGGUUUGAUAAGCCGGGUGUGAAACCCUCGAGCUCAACUCGGGGCGGCCACUCGGAACUGUCAUGACUUGAGUCAGGUAGGGGAACACGGAAUUCCAGGUGUAGCGGUGAAAUGCUUAGAUAUCUGGAGGAACACCAGUGGCGAAGGCGGUGUUCUGGGCCUGUACUGACGCUGAUGCGCGAAAGCGUGGGGAGCGAACAG
rnacentral:rRNA from 1 species